AACAGGAUUAGAUACCCUGGUAGUCCACGCCGUAAACGAUGUCGACUUGGAGGUUGUGCCCUUGAGGCGUGGCUUCCGGAGCUAACGCGUUAAGUCGACCGCCUGGGGAGUACGGCCGCAAGGUUAAAACUCAAAUGAAUUGACGGGGGCCCGCACAAGCGGUGGAGCAUGUGGUUUAAUUCGAUGCAACGCGAAGAACCUUACCUACUCUUGACAUCCAGAGAACUUAGCAAAGAUGCUUUGGUGCCUUCGGGAACUCUGAGACAGGUGCCGCAUGGCUGUCGUCAGCUCGUGUUGUGAAAUGUUGGGUUAAGUCCCGCAACGAGCGCAACCCUUAUCCUUUGUCGCCAGCGGUUCGGCCGGGAACUCAAAGGAGACUGCCAGUGAUAAACUGGAGGAAGGUGGGGAUGACGUCAAGUCAUCAUGGCCCUUACGAGUAGGGCUACACACGUGCUACAAUGGCAUAUACAAAGAGAAGCGACCUCGCGAGAGCAAGCGGACCUCAUAAAGUAUGUCGUAGUCCGGAUUGGAGUCUGCAACUCGACUCCAUGAAGUCGGAAUCGCUAGUAAUCGUGGAUCAGAAUGCCACGGUGAAUACGUUCCCGGGCCCUGUACACACCGCCCGUCACACCAUGGGAGUGGGUUGCAAAAGAAGUAGGUAGCUUAACCUUCGGGAGGGCGCUUACCACUUUGUGAUUCAUGACUGGGGUGAAGUCGUAACAAGGUAACC
rnacentral:rRNA from 1 species